UAACACUUCGUCCAUCUCCGGAUUCUCCGUAAAGAGUAGACUCGUACCUAACUACCAGCCAUCUUGGCUUUGAUACACCCAACGCGUGAUCCGCCUGCGUUAUAAGGCGAUAUACUACGCAUAAAAAUAGUGAUGCAAUACAAAGAGGAGUUAAAAUGGAUUUCAAGUCUGAUCUAGAAUAUGCGACGAGCAAGCUGAAGAUAGAGUUUAGUUUUAGCGACUACCAAUUGAAAGCCCUGAAGAGUCUUUAUGAUUUGAAAGAUUCGAUCGCAGUUCUUCUAACUGGCUCAGGAAAAAGCAUUAUUUUUCAGGGGUUCAGAUUUCUGCAAAGCGUUCAACAGACUUGGAGACCUGACAUGUUUGUUUCCCAAAAUACCUCACUUGGCACUUACAGCGACAGCAACACCAAAUGCUAUAGAAAACCUUAUUGAAAGCCUCCAAUUCAAGAACACGACAAAAGUAUUAGCCAACGCUGACUGCCCUAAUAUUUUUGGGGGAAAAAUAAGAAAGAAUGCCAAAUAUUCACAAAUAUGAAAAGUAUGAUAUGAUAAUGCAUGAAGUGCUGCCUGAAUUAAAAGACCAACAUAUUGAGUUUAUAGUCACCAUAAAUUAUGUACUGUGAUAAUUGGGAAUCUCUAGGCUAUUGCUUUCAACUACUUUGCUAUGAACUAGGAAAACAUGCAUAUUGUCCUGAAUCCAGUACACAACCAGAAGAUUGAAUUGUAGCACAAUUUCUAAAAAAUACAAGGACAGAAUGAAAGCUCACAUUAUUUCUGAACUUAGAAAGAAAAAUCCAAAAGUUUUUUAGUGCUUGAAACAGUUGCCUUAGUUAUGGGUCUAAACGCGCCUUCGAUUGCAAGAGUUAUUCAUAUGCAACCACCUACAACACUUGAAAAGUACAUGCAAGAAAUCGGAAGAGCAGGUUGCAACGGUAAACCUGCAAGUGCCUUGACUGUGUUAUUAUAACAACGGUGACAUUUUGAAAAACAGGAAAGGAAUGGACAUUGAAAUGUUCUCAUACAUUUAAAACAAUUCCACAUGCUUGCGCUUACAUUUGGUUAAUCAUUUUGGCUACAGUAACAGAAGUGUCUUGUUUUCAGGGAACCAAAAUAGUUGUUGUAGUAAUUGUAUGGCUGGUUAAAUGACUGAGAGAUGCCAAUUAGAACCAUUUUCACUCUGAACCAUGAAAGAAUUUAUUCACAACUAUGUUAAAAGUACUUGUUUGUUUUUAUUCACUAUUACAUACAUUAUAUAAACAUGCAAUUUAAAGUUUAUAAUAAAAACAGGGACUAUACAAACAGGUAUGUAUAGGUCACUGCUAGAAUUGGGCAACAUCUUUCAAUCAAGUACAUGCUAUGUUUUAUCCUUAAACAUGACACAGUUGCUUGACUUUUCACAUUUUAUUAAUCCAAAAUUAAUUAACUUGAAAUUGAAUAAGAAAUACCAGAUGUUUCCUUGUCACGUUUUGUGAAAAUAGUCUAAAAAAGAUGUAUUUUAAUGCGAAAGACAAUGUCAUGUUUAGUGGAGUAUUUAAAAACUAUAAAAAAAAUUGACGGAUUUCAGCUAAUCGCAUUUUAAUGUUUUUUUUGCAAUCAGGUCAAUAUCAAGGUGUAUAUAGUGUAUUCUUAAUGUUUAUGUUGGGUACUAAUCAGUUCUGAUUAUGAUGACUUCCUUAAUGCAUACAUAUGUGUUACACUAUGUGUAGUCUAACUAAUUUAGGUAAACAGUGGACAAUGUUGUUCAAUUUUGCAUCUAUCAAUAUCGCUCCUUCUUUAUCCAUUGCAAGAAAAUAAAUGCCUGGUUAAAACAUGACAUUUAUAUUUAAUAUCUUUGCAAUUUUAUAUUGCAUAUUAUUUAAGAAAUGCUAUUAUCACACUAUAUGUAUAUUGAAAAUCGUUACAAUAACAAUAAACAGCUCUAUGCAACUGGAUUUGCUUGUUUUACUCAUAAAUGUAGCACUAUAUUUUGACAUUUUUCUGAUAAUAUUUUUAAUAUAUACUGG